AUUGAACGCUGGCGGCAGGCCUAACACAUGCAAGUCGAACGAGUGGCGGACGGGUGAGUAAUGUCUGGGAAACUGCCUGAUGGAGGGGGAUAACUACUGGAAACGGUAGCUAAUACCGCAUUCCAUCGGCUGUGCCCAGAUGGGAUUAGCUAGUCGGUGGGGUAAAGGCUCACCUAGGCGACGAUCCCUAGCUGGUCUGAGAGGAUGACCGGCCACACUGGAACUGAGACACGGUCCAAACGCCUACGAGAGUCAGCAGUGGGGAAUAUUGCACAAGGGGCGCAAGCCUGAUACGGCCAUGCCGCGUGUAUGAAAAGGGCCUUGGGGUGGUAGAGUACUUUCAGCGGGGAGGCGAUAGCCACAGAAGAAGCACCGGCUAACUCCGUGCCAGCCGCCGCGGUAAUAC
rnacentral:rRNA from 1 species